rnacentral:rRNA from 1 species
UACGGAGGGUGCAAGCGUUAUCCGGAUUCACUGGGUUUAAAGGGUGCGUAGGCGGAUUGGUAAGUCCGUGGUGAAAUCUCUAAGCUUAACUUGGAAACUGCCAUGGAUACUAUUAGUCUUGAAUAUUGUGGAGGUUAGCGGAAUAUGUCAUGUAGCGGUGAAAUGCAUAGGUAUGACAUAGAACACCAAUUGCGAAGGCAGCUGGCUGCACAAAUAUUGACGCUGAUGCACGAAAGCGUGGGGAUCAAACAGG